UACGUAGGGGGCAAGCGUUGUCCGGAGUUACUGGGCGUAAAGCGCCCGCAGGCGGUUUUUCAAGUGUGAGGUGACAGCUCCUCGCUCAACGAGGGGAGUGCCGCGCAGACUGAGAGACUUGAGGGCCAGAGAGGGACAUGGAACUCCGGGUGGAGUGGUGAAAUGCGUAGAGAUCCGGAAGAACACCAAAGGCGAAGGCAGUGUCCUGGCUGGUACCUGACGCUCAGGGGCGAAAGCGAGGGGAGCGAACGGG
rnacentral:rRNA from 1 species